rnacentral:rRNA from 1 species
GACGUACUGCGCGAACGUUAUUCGGAAUCACUGGGCUUAAAGGGUGCGCAGGCGGCUCGUCAAGCCCGUGGUGAAAGGCCCCGGCCCAACCGGGGACGGUCUUCGGGGACUGACGAGCUCGGGCGAUCUAGGGGUCUGUGGAACUCCCGGUGGAGCGGUGAAAUGUGUUGAGAUCGGGAGGAACGCCGGUGGCGAAAGCGACAGACUGGGGAUUUGCCGACGCUCAUGCACGAAAGCCAGGGGAGCGAACGGG